UCAACUUCACAAGUUCAUGCAUUUUUUUCAUGUUUAUUAUUCAUAGCUGAUUAUCAGGUUUAUCUUAUUCAUACUUUUUUCUCAACUUUACAAGUUCAUGCCUUUUUCUUAAUGGUGUUGCUGGUUGAUUGCUUAUGAGGGGGUUUUUAGAUUAGGAUUUCUGUUAAUUGCUUGCUGAGUCUCGAUGAUGGCGUCAUGGUCGGUGGUGUGCUUGCAAACAUUGAUUCGGUUUCUAGGGAGAUGGUGGUGGCUGAGGCAGAGGCUUCGAAACCAGGUCGAUUUGGGAACGGAAAGGGUUGGAAGGUAGUAGUUCGAUGGAAUCAUAAUGUUCAUUCCAUUCUUGACUCGCCAAAGCUUGAAUCACAUUCCCAAAUAGACCAAUUAUUGAGGAUAAGUUCGGUUUGCUUCAGACAUGAAGGCUUUGAGUGAUGAUUUUGAAAGAUUUAUAUCGUUUAAUCCAUGACAUAUAUACCCUAAGCAAGGAGCAUGAGAAGAUGAUACAACUCACCAUGGUUUUCAGAGCACAUUUUUUUCCAUAUAUAUUAUUUUGUUUGGAGUUCUUGUUGCACAAUGAAUGUUAAUUCUGCCAAAGUGAAAUGCAUCCCAACUAGUACGAGUAGUACCAUUGAUUCUUUCUGCAUUUUGAAUUCUAAACUGAAUUUAUUGACCAUGUCUAUUCAUGUGACACAAGAAAUAUUUUUACAAUAUUAAAUUUAUUUGUAAUUUCAUAACUACUAUCAUAGCUUUAAUGCAUUAUUAUAAUAAAGUG